rnacentral:rRNA from 1 species
AGAGUUUGAUCCUGGCUCAGGAUGAACGCUAGCUACAGGCUUAACACAUGCAAGUCGAGGGGCAGCACAGCGUGGCAACACGUGGGUGGCGACCGGCGCACGGGUGCGUAACGCGUAUCCAAUCUACCCAUAACUCCGGGACAGCCCUCUGAAAGGAGGAUUAAUACCGGAUGGCGCAGGGGGUCCGCAUGGACAUAUUGCUAAAGAUUUAUCGGUUAUGGAUGAGGAUGCGUACCAUUAGGUAGUCGGCGGGGUAACGGCCCACCGAGCCGACGAUGGUUAGGGGUUCUGAGAGGAAGGUCCCCCACACUGGAACUGAGACACGGUCCAGACUCCUACGGGAGGCAGCAGUGAGGAAUAUUGGUCAAUGGGCGAGAGCCUGAACCAGCCAAGUAGCGUGAGGGAAGACGGCCCUAUGGGUUGUAAACCUCUUUUGUUCGGGAAUAAAGGGAGGCACGUGUGCCUCUUUGCAUGUACCGUUCGAAUAAGCAUCGGCUAAUUCCGUGCCAGCAGCCGCGGUAAUACGGAAGAUGCGAGCGUUAUCCGGAUUUAUUGGGUUUAAAGGGUGCGCAGGCUGCCUGUCAAGUCAGCGGUAAAAUUGCGGGGCUCAACCCCGUACCGCCGUUGAGACUGACGGGCUGGAGUGCGGUUGAGGCAUGCGGAAUGCGAGGUGUAGCGGUGAAAUGCAUAGAUAUCACACAGAACUCCGAUUGCGAAGGCAGCAUGCCAAGCCGUUACUGACGCUCAGGCACGAAAGCGUGGGGAUCGAACAGGAUUAGAUACCCUGGUAGUCCACGCAGUAACCGAUGAAUGCUAUCUCUGCGGGGCGAAUGUGCUCUGCGGGGAACAGCGAAAGCGUUAAGCAUUCCACCUGGGGAGUACGCCGGCAACGGUGAAACUCAAAGGAAUUGACGGGGGCCCGCACAAGCGGAGGAACAUGUGGUUUAAUUCGAUGAUACGCGAGGAACCUUACCCGGGCUCAAACGCGGAGGAUAAGCGCGGGGGAAACCCUGUGUCGCGCAAGCUAAUCCGCGAGGUGCUGCAUGGUUGUCGUCAGCUCGUGCCGUGAGGUGUCGGCUUAAGUGCCAUAACGAGCGCAACCCCCAUCCUACAGUUGCUAACGGGUAAAGCCGAGGACUCUGUGGAGACUGCCAGCGCAAGCUGCGAGGAAGGCGGGGAUGACGUCAAAUCAGCACGGCCCUUACGUCCGGGGCGACACACGUGUUACAAUGGCGGGGGACAGAGGGAGGCCACCUGGCGACAGGGAGCGGAGCCCGAAAACCCGUCUCAGUUCGGAUCGGAGUCUGCAACCCGACUCCGUGAAGCUGGAUUCGCUAGUAAUCGCGCAUCAGCCAUGGCGCGGUGAAUACGUUCCCGGGCCUUGCACUCACAGCCCGUCAAG